CGAGCCGGCGGAGGUCGCGGUGAGCGCGACGGUGCUCCGGUCGACGGCGCUGCUGGGCGGCACCAACCCGGUGCAAGAGGGCGGGCCGCAGGAGGAAGGCGGGGCGGUGUGGUUCCGACCGGCGGC
rnacentral:snoRNA from 1 species